rnacentral:rRNA from 1 species
ACGAGCGGCGGACGGGUGAGUAAUGUCUGGGGAUCUGCCUGAUGGAGGGGGAUAACUACUGGAAACGGUAGCUAAUACCGCAUAACGUCGCAAGACCAAAGAGGGGGACCUUCGGGCCUCUUGCCAUCAGAUGAACCCAGAUGGGAUUAGCUAGUAGGUGGGGUAAUGGCUCACCUAGGCGACGAUCCCUAGCUGGUCUGAGAGGAUGACCAGCCACACUGGAACUGAGACACGGUCCAGACUCCUACGGGAGGCAGCAGUGGGGAAUAUUGCACAAUGGGCGCAAGCCUGAUGCAGCCAUGCCGCGUGUAUGAAGAAGCCUUCGGGUUGUAAAGUACUUUCAGCGAGGAGGAAGGCAUUAAGGUUAAUAACCUUAGUGAUUGACGUUACUCGCAGAAGAAGCACCGGCUAACUCCGUGGCCAGCAGCCGCGGUAAUACNGGAGGGUGCAAAGCGUUAAUCGGAAUUUCUGGGCGUAAAGCGCACGCCAGGCGG